AGUUUUCGUUUUUUGGGGGGGGGGCGACUUGGAGACAAUUAACUUCAUGAUGAGAGAACGAACCUGGGUUUAGGAUUCAAAGACAAGGUUGCUGCCACACCCCUCCCCCCUCUGUGUCCCAUUGGCUGCUGUUCCCCAGGGGGUGGGACUCCGUAUGGGUUAAGAGCUGUGAGGCCAGACUGAGAGGACAGUGAAGCCUGACACACUCCACCCACCGCACAGGUGGCUAGAGAUCAGAGGUCGUAGCUAGAGGUCAUGGCGGGCCUGAGGAGGAAGCUGAAGUUUCUGGUGACAUUGAUGACGGUCAAUCUCUUCAUCUUCAUCCUAGUGUUCCACGGAGGAGGAGGAGGACAGGACAAGGGACACAACAAGGUGAGAGGGGACAGGACAAGGGACACAACAAGGUGAGAGGGGACAG